rnacentral:rRNA from 1 species
UACGAAGGGGGCUAGCUUGCUCGGAAUCACUGGGCGUAAAGGGUGCGUAGGCGGGUCUUUAAGUCAGGGGUGAAAUCCUGGAGCUCAACUCCAGAACUGCCUUUGAUACUGAAGAUCUUGAGUUCGGGAGAGGUGAGUGGAACUGCGAGUGUAGAGGUGAAAUUCGUAGAUAUUCGCAAGAACACCAGUGGCGAAGGCGGCUCACUGGCCCGAUACUGACGCUGAGGCACGAAAGCGUGGGGAGCAAACAGG